rnacentral:rRNA from 1 species
UACGGGGGGGGCAAGCGUUGUUCGGAAUUACUGGGCGUAAAGGGCUCGUAGGCGGCCAACUAAGUCAUACGUGAAAUCCCUCGGCUUAACCGGGGAACUGCGUCUGAUACUGGAUGGCUUGAGUUCGGGAGAGGGAUGCGGAAUUCCAGGUGUAGCGGUGAAAUGCGUAGAUAUCGUAAGGAAGACCAGUGGCGAAGGCGGGUCUCUGGACAGUUCCUGACGCUGAGGCACGAAGGCCAGGGGAGCAAACGGG